AUGGGUCUCCUGGUUCUCUCCCUCCUCUUGAAUCGCCUCUCCCACCUCUCUCUCUUUCUCUCUCUCCCUCUUUGAGUGAUUGAGUGUGGUGAUUAGGGUUUUAUUGAAAUUUUGACAGUUGUGGAGGAGCCUGAAUCCAAGGGAACUCAAAGUUGUACGUGCGGGAAUGACUAAUUGCGAAAGGGCUAAGAUCGCAUGGAGGCCUUGUGAUAGCGAAGUUAUGGCCACUCACGUCCUUUAACUCCACACCUCGUGCUUGAGUGCUGAGCAAAGUUAUAGCAUACCAACCCACACCUCAUGUACCUUGUGCACUAGCAACUCUCGAUGGUCCUCGCGGUCUAGUUCUUCUUCCCCGGGUGCACACCCCCCAUUUGUCGUAGUUGUUGCUAGCUAUGGGGCGAGCCCACAACAGCAAACCAGCCCUCAGCUAGCGUUGUCCUUGCCUAUCUUCCCCUUCUUGUCGCUUGGUCGGCGGCUUUCAGCCUCUGCUAGUGGCUGCCAGUCAUUGCAAGUACAGAAGAAGAAGGGAUAGGGCUAGGGUCGGUGGUUGGGAUUAUAGACCACUAUUGUGGUCUAUGUUUCUUGUUAGUCAUGGGCAUGGGCCUUGAUUAUUGAAACAUUAGUUUUGUUUUUUUGUUUUUUCCCUUUGUACAUGGACUUUAGUUAAAACUGUCAAUUGUUUUGUGGGUUUUCAGCCCAAGUCUUGCCUCAUUAGGAGGAUCUUGAGACUUGUUAUUAUAUAUAAACAAAACAAGUGAUUUGGUUUCUUGGGCUUAGGAUUAUUUUAUCUCACAUGGGUUUUAAUCUAUGGGUAAUGAGCUUACAUACUAACAAUGUUUUGUAACUGUUUGCAUUGGUUCUUUACUAGGCUAGCCUAACUCAGGUUGGUACAACCCAAUGUAUUAAGCCCAUUUUUGUAAAAACAAUGUUAGUUUUUAUUUUAAUUGUUGUGCAACAACAAUUUAAAUCAAGACGGCCCAACAUGUUUAGGAACCUUGUGGGGGUUGUUGGCGACAUGGGUGGGUAACUUGAACACUUUUUCCAGAUCCCCAAUCAAGGGGUUGAGCCAUCAUUAUAUUUUGGCUCAUUUUAAAAAUAGUUUUUAACUUGUUUUUUAAAACUAGUUUUGAACUUAAUUUUUGAUAUUUUGUUUUAAGAAGUUAAAAUAGAACCCAUAUAGAUCCUCCACCGCUUGUGGUAUGGCCCUUCUUGUGAGACCGACCUAUGUUAUUUAAAUUACCUUUGUAACAUUAAAGAGUUUAAUGUUGUAGGUCUUUACUUAGAGUCCUAUUUGUAAAACCAAUUUUUUUCAAUGAGUUGUGAAAUCCUAGUUAUGACUCGGUGGGGCCCACAUAAUAUAGUAUUAUGUGAAAAUUGAAAUUUGGGAAUUUGAAUGGAUUUGCAAGUUAGACUGGCAUGUUUUGUUACAUGAGACAUAAUAGUAUUUUUCGCAAAUUAUAGUGAAAUAGAGUGUGCAUGUGUGAGGUGGAUUGUACCAUGGGCCAAGAAUAUUAUAUUGUAUAUAGAGCCUAAAAUGGGCCUGUAACUUAAAGUGUUAAGUAUUGCUUUCAGAAAAUAAUGGCCAUUAACCUAAUUUGUAAACACACACAAACAUACACACAUACACACACACACAAUUCUUAAAAAUCCUUUGUGGGCCCAUUGGCACUUGAAUCUGUACAAUUAAAUAUGAUUUAAUGUUUGGUUUAGGAGGUGUGAUAAUUUCAUGUACAUGAGAUAUACAUAUGCAAAAGAAUUGUCAAAAGUUGACAAUUUAAAUUGUGGUUUUGUAAAUCUUAAUUUCGACAUAAAUGAAAUGAAAGGAUUAGAUGCAUGCAUUCGUUAGUGGUUAUGGGAUUUAAAAUAAACCAUAUGAAUGAAUUUUAUGUGGAUGGCAUGUAUAUAUGAGAUUGUGAAAUUCAUCUCUUAUUCUCUCUUUACUCUCUCUUUCUCUCUCCUCUAAUCUUUUUAUAAAUUGAUGUAUUCCCCUUAGGCAGCCCAAUUGGUGGGACGGUUUCCUAUGGUUUUUUUU